GGCAUGUAAGAAGCUUCCUUUGAUUGUUCACCAUCAUAGUGGCUGUUGCAGUUUCUCCUUGCCAUGGACCUUCUUCCUUUCACUGUGAUGAUGGAGUGGAGACAUCCUGGUGGUUCUCUGGUCUGUCUCUUCCUCCUGCUGCAUCCAAGACUGCAGUCCUAACCCAGGCUCGUAGAAUGGCCUGGGUUGAAAAGGACCAUAAUAAUCAUCUAGUUUCAUCCCCUAUGCUGUGUGCAGGGUUGCCAACCAAUACAGAAAGAAGAGAUCUGCCAGAUCAGGCUAUGCUUCUUACCACUUCCUAAGCCCUCCUGAAGAUGGCUCAGGCACAGUUAACGUCAGGUACCUCUUUGAGCUGCUGGAAUCCAUUUAUUUUCAUAGAAUCAUAGAGUUUGAGU